AUCACUUGUUUUGUAUAUUCAAAUUAUUAUUUCUUCUCCUCCCCCCCCUCCCCCUCCCCCAGUUCUAUUCCCCAUCCCAUAGAGGAGGUGGGGGGAAUUAGGGUGAGCAAGUGGCUGUCUAGCAUUGAAGCUGCCUGUGGGCUUAAACUGUGACAGUUCUGGUUCUGUACAAACUUCCACCACAUGGGUCACAUACACAUGACUUACUGUGCAUCUCUGGAUAGCUGCUUGUUGUCCAGGUCAUCAUAAAUCACUUCCAGCAGGGCUACUUCCCUCAGUUCCAGACUACUGGCUCUGUUAUUACCCCAGCAUUGGAGUAGGCUGGUGACAACGUGUUCACCUGGAUGACAGCCAAAAUCUUUUUGUGCAUCUCACAGCUCACUCAGGGACAGGUAUUGGCACCAUACCAGCUUCUAGGAAGAAACAGAACUCCAUCCCUGUGAAAACCAGGACAAUAAACAAAACUAGUAAAUAAAUAAGAGAACUCAACAUGCAGCAAGUUACAGGAGUUCCUCCUACAAUGAGACCACCUAUAAAGAAGAAAGAUCCCACAACCUUCACCAAGAGCUCACAUGAACUAGCAAA